rnacentral:rRNA from 1 species
AGUGAACGCUGGCGGUAGGCCUAACACAUGCGAGUCGAACGGCAGCACAGUAAGAGCUUGCUCUUACGGGUGGCGAGUGGCGGACGGGUGAGGAAUACAUCGGAAUCUACUUUUUCGUGGGGGAUAACGUAGGGAAACUUACGCUAAUACCGCAUACGACCUACGGGUGAAAGCAGGGGAUCUUCGGACCUUGCGCGAUUGAAUGAGCCGAUGUCGGAUUAGCUAGUUGGCGGGGUAAAGGCCCACCAAGGCGACGAUCCGUAGCUGGUCUGAGAGGAUGAUCAGCCACACUGGAACUGAGACACGGUCCAGACUCCUACGGGAGGCAGCAGUGGGGAAUAUUUGACAAUGGGCGCAAGCCUGAUCCAGCCAUACCGCGUGGGUGAAGAAGGCCUUCGGGUUGUAAAGCCCUUUUGUUGGGAAAGAAAAGCAGCAGGUUAAUACCCCGCUGUUCUGACGGUACCCAAAGAAUAAGCACCGGCUAACUUCGUG